GCUGGCAGCUGUAUCACCCUGCAACUGGGAACCCACUGGAGCUCAGCAGGUGUGAGACUGGCCAGUACCUGGAUGGGAGACCUCCUGGGAAAGCUGAGGUGGCUGCUAGAA
rnacentral:rRNA from 1 species